rnacentral:rRNA from 2 species
ACGGGAGGCAGCAGUGGGGGAUAUUGCACAAUGGGGGAAACCCUGAUGCAGCAACGCCGCGUGUGGGAAGAAGGUUUUCGGAUUGUAAACCACUGUUCUUAGCGAAGAAACAAAUGACGGUAACUAAGAAGAAAGCUCCGGCUAACUACGUGCCAGCAGCCGCGGUAAUACGUAGGGAGCGAGCGUUGUCCGGAUUUACUGGGUGUAAAGGGUGCGUAGGCGGCCCUGCAAGUCAGAAGUGAAAGCUACAGGCUCAACCUGUAAACUGCUUUUGAAACUGUGGGGCUUGAGUGAAGUAGAGGCAGGCGGAAUUCCCGGUGUAGCGGUGAAAUGCGUAGAGAUCGGGAGGAACACCAGUGGCGAAGGCGGCCUGCUGGGCUUUAACUGACGCUGAGGCACGAAAGCGUGGGUAGCAAACAGGAUUAGAUACCCUGGUA